GCCAUCUUCUUCAUAGUCCAGUCAUAAAUUCGCACCUUCAACUCUUCAUCGUUGGUGUCGAAGGUGAAAACGUCUGUGACAGCUUUCCAAACUAACUCCUUGUCACGAUCAGGGACAAAACUGAUCUCAGAAGCACCUCGCUUCUCUCUCCAUUCACGAGCACUGAUCGGUAUUUGAUCUCUCACAAGAUAUCCACAGUGACUAACAUAUUUAUUUGCAUGCUCACCAAGUGGUCUGCCUGUAGUUAUCUCAAACUCAGAGAUUACAUAGCGGCCCUCCAACGGCUUCUUUGGCCCUCGUGGAGGUACGCUUCUCCCCGU
rnacentral:lncRNA from 1 species